GUCGAGAAUCUUUCACAAUGGGGGCAACCCUGAUGGAGCGACGCCGCGUGGAGGAUAAGGUCUUCGGAUUGUAAACUCCUGUCAUUCGUGAACAAGGUUGCUUGGUUAAUACCUGGGCAAAUUGAUGGUAACGCAAGAGGAAGAGACGGCUAACUCUGUGCCAGCAGCCGCGGUAAUACAGAGGUCUCAAGCGUUGUUCGGAAUCACUGGGCGUAAAGGGUGCGUAGGUGGCGUGGUAAGUCAGAUGUGAAAGCCCGGGGCUCAACAUCGGAACUGCAGCCGAUACUGCCAUGCUAGAGUACGGGAGAGGUGACUAGAAUUCUCGGUGUAGCAGUGAAAUGCGUAGAUAUCGAGAGGAAUACCAAAGGCGUAGGCAGGUCACUGGACAGUUACUGACACUGAGGUGCGAAAGCGUGGGGAGCAAACAGGAUUAGAAACCCUUGUAGUCC
rnacentral:rRNA from 1 species